UACGAGUGCCCCGAGCGUUAUCCGGAAUCAUUGGGCGUAAAGGGUGUGUAGGUGGCAGUGUUAGUCGGUUGUUAAAACCUGGGGCUCAACCCCAGACAUGCGACCGAAACGGCACAGCUAGAGGAUGGCAGGGAUGUAUGGAACUCAUGGAGUAGGGGUGAAAUCCGUUGAUAUCAUGGGGAACACCAAAAGCGAAGGCAGUACAUUGGGCCACUCCUGACACUGAAACACGAAAGCGUGGGUAGCGAAUGGG
rnacentral:rRNA from 1 species